CGCGCCACGGGAUGCACAUGGGUGGCUGCACGCCGCCGCCGCUCUAACAGGAAAUGCACGCCCGACCUGGGGUUUGCCUUAGCAGAUCGAGAGGGAGUCAGCGUGAAACGUGCGGUGGUGCUGGUGCGAGUUCCCAUAGAGCUGCCUGACUUGGAGGUUACCUGGGAGAAUGCACUCUGCCCCGAGCAGUCCCAUCAGGUAUGUACCACUGUGCACCCAUUUUAUAGAAGAGGAAACUGAGGCAUAUUGCUGCUCGGAAAUGAAAGGACCUGGAUCUGAACCCACAGGCAGCUGGAGCCUGCAGCCUGGAGCUGGGGCUGUUAAUCACACCACUCCAAUGCCUCGUGCCAGAGACAAAAGAGGAUGCCAAAUGAGACUGAUGUAAGAAUCCAAGUGAAAAACUCAGACUUAAUGUAAAAUUAAAUUAA